rnacentral:rRNA from 1 species
UUCGCAAUGCCCGAAAGGGUGACGAAGCGACGCCGCGUGUGGGAAGAAGGCCUUCGGGUUGUAAACCACUGUUGGGAGUUAGGAAGUGUGGAGGUGUUAAUAGCGCUUUCACUUGACUAAAGCUCCAGAGGAAGCCACGGCUAACUCUGUGCCAGCAGCCGCGGUAAUACAGAGGCGGCAAGCGUUGUUCGGAAUUAUUGGGCGUAAAGAGCACGUAGGCGGUCUUGCAAGUCAGUUGUGAAAGCCUUCCGCUCAACGGAAGAAUGCUAGCUGAUACUACAAGGCUAGAGUGCGGAAGGGGAGAGUGGAACUUCUGGUGUAGCGGUGAAAUGCGUAGAUAUCAGAAGGAACGCCGGCGGCGAAAGCGGCUCUCUGGUCCGUAACUGACGCUGAGUGUGCGAAAGCUAGGGGAGCAAACGGGAUUAGAUACCCCGGUAGUCCUAGCCGUAAACGAUGGGCACUAAGUAGAGGGGUUUU